rnacentral:rRNA from 1 species
UACCAGCACCCCGGGGGGUCGGGACGUUUAUUGGGCCUAAAGCAUCCGUAGCCGGUUCUACAAGUCUUCCGUUAAAUCCAACUGCUUAACAGGUGGGCUGCGGAAGAUACUAUAGAGCUAGGAGGCGGGAGAGGCAAGCGGUACUCGAUGGGUAGGGGUAAAAUCCGUUGAUCCCUUGAAGACCACCAGUGGCGAAGGCGGCUUGCCAGAACGCGCUCGACGGUGAGGGAUGAAAGCUGGGGGAGCAAACCGG